AUACUUACUUGCAGGAGAGAUACUGUGAUCAUGAAGGUGGUUUUCCCAGGGUGAGGCUUAUCCAUUGCACUGUAGAUGUGCUAACCCCUGCCAUUUCCCCAAAUGUGGGAAACUUGACUGCCUAAGUUGUGGUAGUGGGGUACUGCGUUUGCACUCUCUGA
rnacentral:snRNA from 1 species